AGAGUUUGAUCAUGGCUCAGAUUGAACGCUGGCGGCAGGCCUAACACAUGCAAGUCGAGCGGUAGCACAGAGAGCUUGCUCUCGGGUGACGAGCGGCGGACGGGUGAGUAAUGUCUGGGAAACUGCCUGAUGGAGGGGGAUAACUACUGGAAACGGUAGCUAAUACCGCAUAACGUCGCAAGACCAAAGUGGGGGACCUUCGGGCCUCAUGCCAUCAGAUGUGCCCAGAUGGGAUUAGCUAGUAGGUGGGGUAACGGCUCACCUAGGCGACGAUCCCUAGCUGGUCUGAGAGGAUGACCAGCCACACUGGAACUGAGACACGGUCCAGACUCCUACGGGAGGCAGCAGUGGGGAAUAUUGCACAAUGGGCGCAAGCCUGAUGCAGCCAUGCCGCGUGUGUGAAGAAGGCCUUCGGGUUGUAAAGCACUUUCAGCGGGGAGGAAGGCGAUAAGGUUAAUAACCUCAUCGAUUGACGUUACCCGCAGAAGAAGCACCGGCUAACUCCGUGCCAGCAGCCGCGGUAAUACGGAGGGUGCAAGCGUUAAUCGGAAUUACUGGGCGUAAAGCGCACGCAGGCGGUCUGUCAAGUCGGAUGUGAAAUCCCCGGGCUCAACCUGGGAACUGCAUGGCAGGCUAGAGUCUUGUAGAGGGGGGUAGAAUUCCAGGUGUAGCGGUGAAAUGCGUAGAGAUCUGGAGGAAUACCGGUGGCGAAGGCGGCCCCCUGGACAAAGACUGACGCUCAGGUGCGAAAGCGUGGGGAGCAAACAGGAUUAGAUACCCUGGUAGUCCACGCCGUAAACGAUGUCGAUUUGGAGGUUGUGCCCUUGAGGCGUGGCUUCCGGAGCUAACGCGUUAAAUCGACCGCCUGGGGAGUACGGCCGCAAGGUUAAAACUCAAAUGAAUUGACGGGGGCCCGCACAAGCGGUGGAGCAUGUGGUUUAAUUCGAUGCAACGCGAAGAACCUUACCUGGUCUUGACAUCCACAGAACUUUCCAGAGAUGGAUUGGUGCCUUCGGGAACUGUGAGACAGGUGCUGCAUGGCUGUCGUCAGCUCGUGUUGUGAAAUGUUGGGUUAAGUCCCGCAACGAGCGCAACCCUUAUCCUUUGUUGCCAGCGGUCCGGCCGGGAACUCAAAGGAGACUGCCAGUGAUAAACUGGAGGAAGGUGGGGAUGACGUCAAGUCAUCAUGGCCCUUACGACCAGGGCUACACACGUGCUACAAUGGCAUAUACAAAGAGAAGCGACCUCGCGAGAGCAAGCGGACCUCAUAAAGUAUGUCGUAGUCCGGAUUGGAGUCUGCAACUCGACUCCAUGAAGUCGGAAUCGCUAGUAAUCGUAGAUCAGAAUGCUACGGUGAAUACGUUCCCGGGCCUUGUACACACCGCCCGUCACACCAUGGGAGUGGGUUGCAAAAGAAGUAGGUAGCUUAACCUUCGGGAGGGCGCUUACCACUUUGUGAUUCAUGACUGGGGUGAAGUCGUAACAAGGUAACCGUAGGGGAACCUGCGGUUGGAUCACCU
rnacentral:rRNA from 1 species